rnacentral:rRNA from 1 species
GAUCAUUAUUGAAAUAAACCUGAUAAGUUGUUGCUGGUUCUCUAGGGGACAUGUGCACACUUGUCAUCUUUAUAUCCCCUGUGCAUUUUUUUGUAGGGCUUUUUUUUCAAAAGGCUCUAUGUUCAUUUAUAUACUCAAUUGUAUGUUACAGAAUGUUUUUGGAGUUAUCUAUUAGACAACUUUCAGCGACGGAUCUCUAGGCUCUCGCAUCGAUGAAGAACGCAGCGAAAUGCGAUAAGUAAUGUGAAUUGCAGAAUUCAGUGAAUCAUCGAAUCUUUGAACGCACCUUGCGCUCCUUGGUAUUCCGAGGAGCAUGCCUGUUUGAGUGUCAUUUAUAUAUAUCAUCAACCUUUGUGGUUGGAUUUAUGGGGGCUUGCUGGACUUUCUGAGGUCAGCUCCCCUCAAAUGCAUUAGUUUCAAUUUGGUGUGAUAACUUAUCUACGCUUAUUGAACAAUAUUAUUAAAUUGUGACCUCAAAUCAUGUAGA